UGAAUUACCCCCUGAAGCAUUUCAUCAAUAUCAUUAAUCUGGGGUGAUCGCUGUGCUUGUACUGUCAGUAGAUGAGUGUGCCUGUCCUCUCUCCCUCUGUCACCAUCAUUCAUCCUCCCCUCCUGUUUUCAUGAAGAUUGAGCUCCGGCUCUUUCUUCUUUUAUUUUUUUUUUUAUACCUUUUUAAAAGCAAAGUGUUCUAAUGGGAGCAGUGAAAGAUUCUCACCAUGCCUUUGAGUGUCCUGCAGGGAGAAUACACAAGUGCUGUAAAACAAAAGCCAUCCAUCAGAUCAGUGCUCGCACGUCUACUGUGCAUUGACAGAUUCUGCUGAGCCGUUGAAGGACGUGGAGUUUGUGCUCAGUGUGCUGGAACUGAAAAUGAUAGUGCAUUCAUUAGCACUGUCUCAGUUAUCAGAUGAGAAACACAUGCCUGAGCUGCGAUUCAGGCUGGGAGCAGCUGUGUCGGGCGUCUCCAGACUAAAUCCAUCAGCCUGGGGGGGGGGCUACAUUGUGUGUGUGUGUGUGUGUAAAUGUGUCACACCUGAACGUGGCCGAACAGACGGCCCAUCAUCAUCAAUUACAGGACAUUAUGUCCUUGCCCCUGUGAGCCAUCUUAAUGUGCUCUCUGGACGGCGGCUGGUGCAGCUUCUGGCCACAUGCACACCUCCGUGCACUGACCACCUCUGUGUGCACGUAUACAACCUCUACGAUUAAGCACAUCCGGCACAUGGGAGAUCAUGCGAUGUUCACUAUAGAUAUGCUGAGGCUACAAUGUUAGACCAAGACUUCAGAUUGACCUCCUUGACUGGAGCUACAGAGUGGACCCGACAGAUUGGAAACCAUCUUCAAGGUCUCCAUCACUCAACCUGGGGCUUAUGGGACAUUUCCUGUCACUGUCAUUACUGCUAGAUGAUCGAAUGAAUGGAUAUUGAUGAUCUCCAGCAGGUAGUUGUUUGAUAGAUGGGCAGACGUUUUGAUGGCGAGGUGUAAGAAGACAGCAGGAGUUAAGAUUUAGGUGUAACUUGGCUGUACUGCUCUGUCAUAUCUUUCCUUUUCUCAUGAAAGACACACACACACACACACACACACUGAGAUUAGGCUCAAUAAGCUCUUAUUACAUUCAGCUCCUCAAUUGGGGAGUUAAUUAAUAGUGACCCAACAUUAAAACUGAGCUAAUGGUCUCUGCUGCUGGAUUUAAAUCACAGGAGCAGAAUUUCUGCUGAUAUGAUGAGGAUGUUCGCAUCAGCAUUAUAUUCACAAUCUCGUAGAAUAAAUACUCUGUUGUUGUCGUGUGUCAGUCAGAGUGAUGGGGCUGGAGGAGGAGGAGGAAUGGUUUGGAAAGACUGGGAGGUAAAAUAUUCUUUUUGACCAUCCUUGCAGAAAGAGUUGAGUAGCUUUUAAGACCAAGUCUUUUUGUUGCUUUAUGUGGUCACGUCAUAGCGUCUGAGCAUUUUGUGCAUUUUUGCGUGUUGUCGGGCGUGUCACUUGGUUGGUUUGCUCAUGUGUGCUAAUUGGUGGAGAAGUGAUUCUCAAAGCAGCUAAGAUGCAUUCCCUGCAGCUUCAGCUCCUGUGUGUGUCGCCUCCAUCCCUUCAGAUGUAGCGUUGGGUCAUUGUUGGGGUCUGCCAAGAAGGGAUUUCUCAUGUACGCAAAGACAGGUAGACAGUGAGAGAGAAAAACAAGGUGAGGUGAAAUCAUUCACUGUGAGGUAAUUUCCUUGCGGGCGCUGGUCAGAGAGAGAGAGAGAGAGAGAGCACUCAGGACUCAGUGAAACCCUGCCCAGCCAUCAGGGCUCAGAUUAGCCUGCUCUGCUCCUCAAAGGGCUGUAAUGCACAUUUGAAACUAAGUGCAGGCAGAACAACAGCCUUACCCAGCCCUGGGUGUGCCAACUGAACCAUCAUGAAUGUGGUAAUAGGCCUCGUGUGAAGGAAGCGAGGACUCCAGUUGGUAAGUCCCUCUGGGUAUUCAGUUGUGUCAUUGAAUGCGGUCCAGCAGGUAGGGUCUUGUUGGAUAUCACAUAUAAUCCAAUCCAACUGGGACAUUCCAAUGGAGUUCCCAGCAGCAUCAAAUAUGAUGCUUCCACUGACGUCAGCCGUCGCAGGGGCCGAGUGAGUUCCUGUCGAUCAGCCCCCAUUCAUUCUUUAUGAGCUGAACGCUUCCUGUGGAGCAGCGGGCUGAAGCAGGGAGCAGGGUGGUCCAUGGAUCCGCUUUUUGAUACGUCUUUGCUCGGCAGGAGGGAUCUCGAGGAAUUCAUAUCUUGGGAAAAAAUCAUUUCAUCAUCAUAGUUUCUCAGUGGGCUAUAGAAUACACAAAAACAUACAUUCCCUUCCAAGUUAGAUCAAUUCUGUACAUUUCACCAGAAAGGUUUCCACCAUAGAUUGUCUAUGGUGGACAGCACGUCUCUACUUCCUUCCACUUUCCACAAAUAAGGCUAAAAUAUCCCCGAUACCAACGCUGCCAUCUUGGAGUCUGGGCUGGAGCCACGGUAGCGAUACACGCGCUCGACCAAUCGUGAGUCAGUCUCAGAAGUAUCAAAUAACUCCAACAACCCAUGAGCAUUUGUACUCAUACUAUCCAAUCAGGGCCACCGACUCAGCGAAUGCAACAAUAUUUAAUCGGUGUAUUUUAAACAGAUUCAUUGAUUUAUGCUUAAGAGUCCAAGUGUCUACUCCAAUUGAUUAAGCCAUUAAUCCCAGUUCUGUGAUGUGUGCAUGAGAUGUUGUUAAGCACCAAACAGAGGAAUUCAAAACCAGGUGGAAAUGAGCUCAAAACAGCUCCUGCAGAAAAAGAGAGGAUAAAUCAGAUUGAACAGUUUCCACACAGUCCUGAUCGGGCAGAUUAGGGGAGAUUUUCUUUUUACUGUGAUUGUGAAAAUUAAAUGUAAGAAAUUAGGAAAAAUCAGAGGCUGUGGUUUGCUUCAGGUGACUUUGCCAUUAUAAAUAAAUAUGCAAAUGACAAUUGCAUGAAAAACACAAGCAAAAUCAAUAUUUAAAAAAGUCCUAAAACAUUAUUAUAAUCAUGAUGUACCAUGACACAAAAAAAGAAACACCACAAGAUGAUCUUACAGAUGGUUUCCAAACUUUCAGCGACGUCCUGUGGCCUCCACAGAUGGAUGGAGCUCUGGACAACAGCUCAGAUCUCGUGUGGUUGAUGAAGGCCGUGCUCUGUAGCUGAAAGAUUAGUUAGUGCACCACGUGUUUAUAUUAUUCAGACUUCCCGGUUAUUUUGUACUGCAUACCUAAUUUAUAUAAUGGCUUCAUGAUGAGCAACAGGUUUCAACCACAUCUUCCAAAUUCCCCGAUGUCUCUUCUGUGAUUACAGUCCCAUCUGUUAGAAACCAGGCAGAAUGAGAAACCAGUGAACCACCCAUUUGUGUUGGAUCUGAUCAAACUGGUCGGGUAUCAAACAGAGGCGGAUAUGGACAAGCACCAGUCACAUCACUGGACAAAUAUCACUCUAAUGCGACUGACCCAGACCCCGAGGUGUUUUGUCCCCGGCCGCUGAGGCUCCUGACACCAGCUGUGGAUUCGACCUUUCAGUUCUGCAGGAGGUGGUUUUUGUCAUUCUUCUCAUUGGGGGUUGAAAUCUUCUGCCUCCUUUUAGUAUGUCGUUCUUUUUUUACCUCCCCCAAGGAUGUUAUGGUUUCACCAGCGUCUGUUUUUUUUCAGCAGGAUUAUGCAAAGAUUACUAAAAAAUUUAGUAAUUCAGGAAAUAAUACGACUUGGGCCAAGACAGUACACGAUGAAUCCUGCGAGGUUCCACAGAUUCGCUUUCUUUUACGUAUGCCCCCUUCCUAGUGCCAUGGUAGUUUUGAAUAUGUAAUAUGCCUUUACCACUGACGGAAAAACAAAACGUUGAAAUCAGUUAUGGGAGUCGCCAUCUACUGAAAAGUAGUCAGUAGUCGCCAUCUACUGAAAAGAGACCAGAACUGCAGACUCCUCAGCUCGCCUGUGACGUCUCAUUGAUUCGUGUCUGUCAGGAGCUCGAGAUCAAUCUGGGAUCAGUUGAACCUCGCAUUCAUAACCUGGUCUGCGGCUUCACGCCAAGUACGUCCUCUCUGAGAGGCUUUGUGUGAAAUGUCUGGUAUUUAAAUGGCGUUGUUGUACAUCAACCAAACGACUGAGUAACUCCUCAUUAUUCUGUCUCCUGUCUUUUCAGUUUUACAGUCAGACCUUCCAAAGGACAUCAUCAAUCUCAAAGCUCCGUCAGCACUGAACGUCUGCUGGGGAAAUAAUUCAGCCAUGGAGCAGAAGACAAAUGAGAGUUCCAACACCACCUCUCCUCAGAAGCACAUGAAGAACAGGUCCAAAUCAACGGAGGAGAUGCAGCAGUCGAAGAAGGCCUUCUCCUCACAAAAAUCCCUCCCAGGCAGACCAGAGCUGGACAACGUGAAGGAGUGUCCCGAUGGCUCGGACACACCCUCGUCCUCCACCGAAGAAAGUGAUAAAUAAAAAAAUGGAUCAGAAGGACGAAAAAGCUACAAGAUCAUCAUACAACAACAUUAUACACGUAUACAAAUGUAAAUAAUGUGCACAAGGUAACAUGCACAAUAUUGAGGUUAAUAGUGAACUACAUUAGAAAAUCAAGGAAGUGAAGAUUUGAUAAAGGAAACUGUAAAAGAAAAAGGUAAAUUGAACAAACACACAAACGAUCCGAGACAAUCGCAUGUAAACAAGCCAUGAUGAUGCUGUCUUCAUUGUACUGUCAGUGUCAUAUACAAACCACACUGAAUGUGUUUUGAGAAUAAAAUGAUUCCUCAUCUGUUCUCACUCACACCAGGAAUAAACUACUGCAAAACUCAAAAUA